ACGUGAGCCCAUGGUACAGACAGGUGGGGGGGGGGGGUAACAGCUGACUGACCCCCACGUGAAGAUGGCAACCACACCACCCAGCCAGGCAGGUCCACGAUUUAUCCUGAAAAUAAGCCUGCAGGUGACCCAUGACGAGGAGCAGGUGCAUUAUAGCGUUCUUAGGAGACAGCAGGUGGAAGCAGAAGAGGACAGGAGCUUGAGGGCAAGAGAGCAAAAGAGAACCGCGAGGCGAAAAGAAAGCAUGUCAGACAGUCAGUUACGGUCAGACAGCCUUGAGGGGAGGACGCGUGUGUGUGUGCUGUGUGCGAGGGAGUGACUGGCGCCCCUUGCUGUGUCUUGGCGCCCUCCGUUCCAGGCUCCACCCGCACGCGCGUUCACAGCCCUUCACCAAGUCAUCCGCAUCGAACCCUCCUCCACCCACCGCUCAAGUUCCCACGCCCGUCGGUCCCCCGCGCGGUAGGCUCCCACGCCCACCGGCACGUCGGCUCACACGCUACCUGGGCCGGGCUGAAGGCUUGACGGUGUUACCAGCGCCGGGCAGCCUCCUUACCCACCCGAGAUGAAAGGGGCAUCGGCAGCUGUCUUCGUGGUGGUGCUGGCAACGGUGCAAGUCUCCCUGGUGAGCAUUACAUUAUAGCUUAACGCUGACCACCUUCCUUCCGUCUGGCGUGUAGUGUAUAGCGGCCGUGACUGUCAUAUUCUGCCUGUGUAAAAACGUCAAGUGGUCAGGCUGUCGCGGCUGUAGUAACGGGAGAACAGACGGAGUAAUGGCGCGAAACUAAAGCACUCCCUCUUUCUGCCCCAUCUGCCGACCUCACUUUAAUAAUAGAAAUAGAAGGUAAUAAUAAAAAAUAUGAUAGGAAAAGGAAGAGGAGGUCCAAUUUUAGCCUUAUUAAAGAC